AUGGAGAGAAGACCGGGGAUUCUGCUGGGGCUUUUGUGGGUCCAGAUUUGCUGGGUGAGAGGGCUGCAGGUGGAGCAGAGUCCUCCAGCCCUGAGUAUCCAGGAGGGAGCCAGUCCUACCCUGAGGUGCAAUUUUUCAGCCUCUGUGACCAACAUGCAAUGGUUCCGACAGAGUCCCAGGCGUGGCCUCAUCAGAUUGUUUUCCAUGGCUCUGGGAGUGAAGGAGGAUGGAAGGUUGAAGUCAACAGUUAACUCUCAGGAGCGCUACAGUACCCUCCACAUCUCAGUCGCCCAGCUGGAGGACUCCGGCACCUACCUCUGUGCAGUAGAGGCACAGUGCUCCCAGGGUGUCUGCAGCCCGGACCCAAAGUGCAGCUGGGCCUGUCUGGGAAAGGGAUCAGAAAGUUUCCGUGACUACUCUGAAAGAAACUUUUAUUUGCUGCAGCCACAGAUCACGAUUCUGACAACCAAACGCAACACUUAA